rnacentral:rRNA from 1 species
GAUGAACGCUGACAGAAUGCUUAACACAUGCAAGUCAACUUGAAUUUGGGUUUUUAUCUUAGGUUUGGGUGGCGGACGGGUGAGUAACGCGUAAAGAACUUGCCUCACAGCUAGGGACAACAUUUGGAAACGAAUGCUAAUACCUAAUAUUAUGAUAAUAGGGCAUCCUAUAAUUAUGAAAGCUAUAAGCGCUGUGAGAGAGCUUUGCGUCCCAUUAGCUAGUUGGAGAGGUAACGGCUCACCAAGGCGAUGAUGGGUAGCCGGCCUGAGAGGGUGAUCGGCCACAAGGGGACUGAGACACGGCCCUUACUCCUACGGGAGGCAACAGUGGGGAAUAUUGGACAAUGGACCGAGAGUCUGAUCCAGCAAUUCUGUGUGCACGAUGAAGUUUUUCGGAAUGUAAAGUGCUUUCAGUUGGGAAGAAACAAAUGACGGUACCAACAGAAGAAGUGACGGCUAAAUACGUG